ACGGAAGGCAGCAGUGGGGAAUAUUGCACAAUGGGGGAAACCCUGAUGCAGCGACGCCGCGUGAGUGAAGAAGUAUUUCGGUAUGUAAAGCUCUAUCAGCAGGGAAGAAAAUGACGGUACCUGACUAAGAAGCCCCGGCUAACUACGUGCCAGCAGCCGCGGUAAUACGUAGGGGGCAAGCGUUAUCCGGAUUUACUGGGUGUAAAGGGAGCGUAGACGGUCUUGCAAGUCUGAUGUGAAAGGCAGGGGCUCAACUCCUGGACUGCAUUGGAAACUGUGAGUCUUGAGUGUCGGAGAGGUAAGCGGAAUUCCUAGUGUAGCGGUGAAAUGCGUAGAUAUUAGGAGGAACACCAGUGGCGAAGGCGGCUUACUGGACUGUAACUGACGUUGAGGCUCGAAAGCGUGGGGAGCAAACAGGAUUAGAUACCCUGGUA
rnacentral:rRNA from 1 species